AUACGGAGGGUGCAAGCGUUGUCCGGAUUUAUUGGGUUUAAAGGGUGCGUAGGUGGCGUGUUAAGUCAGUGGUGAAAGCCUGCAGCUCAACUGGAGAGGUGCCAUUGAUACUGACAUGCUUGAGUAUGGACGAGGUAGGCGGAAUUUGUGGUGUAGCGGUGAAAUGCAUAGAUACCACAAAGAACACCGAUAGCGAAGGCAGCUUACUGGACCAUAACUGACACUGAGGCACGAAAGUGUGGGUAGCGAACAGGAUUAGAUACCCCAGUAGUCC
rnacentral:rRNA from 1 species